rnacentral:rRNA from 1 species
GACGAACGCUGGCGGCGUGCUUAACACAUGCCAGUCGAACGGAAAGGCCCUGCUUUUGUGGGGUGCUCGAGUGGCGAAAGGGUGAGUAACACGUGAGUAACCUGCCCUUGACUUUGGGAUAACUUCAGGAAACUGGGGCUAAUACCGGAUAGGAGCUCCUGCUGCAUGGUGGGGGUUGGAAAGUUUCGGCGGUUGGGGAUGGACUCGCGGCUUAUCAGCUUGUUGGUGGGGUAGUGGCUUACCAAGGCUUUGACGGGUAGCCGGCCUGAGAGGGUGACCGGCCACAUUGGGACUGCGAUACGGACCAGAAUCCUACGGGAGGCAGCAGUGGGGAAUAUUGCACAAUGGGCGGAAGCCUGAUGCAGCAACGCCGCGUGCGGGAUGACGGCCUUCGGGUUGUAAACCGCUUUCGCAUGUGACGAAGCGUGAGUGACGGUAAUGGGUAAAGAAGCACCGGCUAACUACGUG